GCCUUCGUGGUGUAGUGGUCAGCACGCUCGACGCGUAACCGAGAGGUCCGUGGUUCGAUUCCCGACAAAGGCG
rnacentral:tRNA from 1 species